rnacentral:rRNA from 1 species
AUCUGUGAGCAUAUCGCCUUGAAUGUCCCAUCUUGUCUGCUCUCAGAAGCUAAGUGAGGUCAGGCCUGGUUAGAACUUGGAUGGGAGAAACUUGUGGUUAUUUGGUUUGUGAUU